rnacentral:lncRNA from 1 species
AAAGGAGAAUAUUGUGGAUUGAAAAGGGAGAAAGAAAUGCUGGUGCUGAUAUGUGGUGCUGCUUGGCUUCCUCCAGCUCAGCUCCUCCUCCACUUCUGCCUUUACAGCCAUAGAUGCUACCUUGCCGAGUUGUCAAACAGAACCGAGCUCUGUUCUCACUUUGCCGGGGCAGGCUGGGCAGGCGAACAGAGGCUGAGCUCCCUUCAGAG